rnacentral:misc_RNA from 1 species
CCGAAUUGUCAACACGAGUUGUUGCUGGUCCCCAGACUGGGGUCAGGUGCACACUCUGUUUACACAUCCACCCACACCUGUGCAUCCUCUGUAGCUCUAUGGCCUGGGUGGGUUUGUCCCCCCUUGCUGUGGUUCUACGUAUUUACACACACACUGUUAUAAAGUCUCAUGGAAUGUUUGCCGCGUUUAACGCAAUACAAUA